UUUUCAAAAAAAAACGUAUGA
ensembl:piRNA 21ur-7175 ncRNA